AGUGAACGCUGGCGGUAGGCCUAACACAUGCAAGUCGAACGGCAGCACAGGAGAGCUUGCUCUCUAGGUGGCGAGUGGCGGACGGGUGAGGAAUACAUCGGAAUCUGCCCAGUCGUGGGGGAUAACGUAGGGAAACUUACGCUAAUACCGCAUACGACCUUCGGGUGAAAGAGGGGGAUCGCAAGACCUCUCGCGAUUGGAUGAGCCGAUGUCGGAUUAGCUAGUUAGCGGGGUAAUGGCCCACCAAGGCGACGAUCCGUAGCUGGUCUGAGAGGAUGAUCAGCCACACUGGAACUGAGACACGGUCCAGACUCCUACGGGAGGCAGCAGUGGGGAAUAUUGGACAAUGGGCGCAAGCCUGAUCCAGCCAUACCGCGUGGGUGAAGAAGGCCUUCGGGUUGUAAAGCCCUUUUGUUGGGAAAGAAAUCUUUCAGGCUAAUACCCUGGGAGGAUGACGGUACCCAAAGAAUAAGCCCCGGCUAACUUCGUG
rnacentral:rRNA from 1 species